rnacentral:rRNA from 1 species
ACGGCGAGUGAAGCGGCAAAAGCUCAAAUUUGAAAUCUGGUACCUUCGGUGCCCGAGUUGUAAUUUGGAGAGGGCAACUUUGGGGCCGUUCCUUGUCUAUGUUCCUUGGAACAGGACGUCAUAGAGGGUGAGAAUCCCGUGUGGCGAGGAGUGCGGUUCUUUGUAAAGUGCCUUCGAAGAGUCGAGUUGUUUGGGAAUGCAGCUCUAAGUGGGUGGUAAAUUCCAUCUAAAGCUAAAUAUUGGCGAGAGACCGAUAGCGAACAAGUACAGUGAUGGAAAGAUGAAAAGAACUUUGAAAAGAGAGUGAAAAAGUACGUGAAAUUGUUGAAAGGGAAGGGCAUUUGAUCAGACAUGGUGUUUUGUGCCCUCUGCUCCUUGUGGGUAGGGGAAUCUCGCAUUUCACUGGGCCAGCAUCAGUUUUGGUGGCAGGAUAAAUCCAUAGGAAUGUAGCUUGCCUCGGUAAGUAUUAUAGCCUGUGGGAAUACUGCCAGCUGGGACUGAGGACUGCGACGUAAGUCAAGGAUGCUGGCAUAAUGGUUAUAUGCCGCCCGUCUUGAAACACGG